rnacentral:rRNA from 1 species
CCUACGGGAGGCAGCAGUGAGGAAUAUUGGUCAAUGGCCGGAAGGCUGAACCAGCCAAGCCGCGUGAAGGUCAGUGCCCCAUGGGCGUUAAACCUCUUUUUUUCGGGAGCCAUAAUGGUCACGUGUGGCCAGACGAGAGUACCGUACGAAUAAGCAUCGGCUAACUCCGGGCCAGCAGCCGCCGUGAUAAGGGGGGUGCAAGCGUUUUCCGGAUUUUUUGUGUUUUAAGGGUGCGUAUGCUGGGAGGUAAAUCAGCUGUGGAAUGCCUGCGGUCGACGGGGUGAAGUGCCAUUGAUACUGGCUGUCUUGAGUGCGGAUGACGUGGGAGGAAUGUGUGGUGUAGCGGUGAAAUGCAUAGAUAUCACGCAGAACACCGAUUGCGAAGGCAGCUCACGAAUCCGCGAUUGACGCUGAUGCACGAAAGCGUGGGUAUCAAACAGGAUUAGAUACCCUUGUAGUC